rnacentral:rRNA from 1 species
UCCGUAGGGUGCAAGCGUUGUCCGGAAUUAUUGGGCGUAAAGGGCUCGUAGGCGGUCUGUCACGUCGGGAGUGAAAACUCAGGGCUUAACCCUGAGCCUGCUUCCGAUACGGGCAGACUAGAGGUAUGCAGGGGAGAACGGAAUUCCUGGUGUAGCGGUGAAAUGCGCAGAUAUCAGGAGGAACACCGGUGGCGAAGGCGGUUCUCUGGGCAUUACCUGACGCUGAGGAGCGAAAGUGUGGGGAGCGAACAGG